rnacentral:lncRNA from 1 species
UGUGUUUGGCUGCUGAUAGGGCACUGGGAUCUGUGUAAUUUCCCAUGGAGCAACCCACUGCACCAGCUCAAACGUCUCUUCCUGGGAAUCUCCUGGUCUGGCUCACUGUCCAAGUCCCAUUAUUGCACUGAUUUUCUUAUGAGUAAAAUUGUUACAUUCAAACUCAUGCACAGAGUAUUUUACUGAAUGACAUUCUGCAGUAAGACCUGUCAUGAAUAUUGCUGAGAGACACAGAGUAUAAUUCCUACCUUAAACUUAAAUUAUAAAACUCUCAAGGAUGUUCUCAAAUAACAUUGGAUAAAUCUAUGCUAUGUCAUUGGAAGACAAAUACUUCUAAAGUAUAUUACACUGUUGUCACCAUUAUUUUUUUUAUUUGUGAGUAUGUAUAAGGGUUGCUUUAAAACCAAUUUCAAAAUAAAUGAAAAUUGAUACAAAGAAUCCUAAUCAUGAAAUUACUUUUACCUUAAACGUUUCCACAGUUUUUUUUCCUCUCUUUUUUUUUUUCAAGUUGGCUGACUAGGGAUGUUGGAUGCCAGCUCUCCUCAGAAAGAUCAAAGUUACAGGUGAAUGGUCAUGAUUUAAAUGGAAAUCUGAGGAAAUGGAGCAAGGUCCUGUUGGAGCACUCAUGAGAGGAUCCAGGAGCACAAAAGAGGAAAGCAACAAGAGACUGGCAGAGAUUGAUUCUCUAGAAACUUGGACCAUGAAAAGGGGUUGGACUGCGCAAUCUAUGCUGAAGCUGGUUGGCUAACUUGAAAUGUGUGGGAAUGCGAUGACACCAGUGGGAGAGCAGUGGGAAGGAGAGAAGACCAUGCUAAAUAUUACUCUUGGAAAAGUACAUGUGCUGCAGAGAAAUCUUUAUUCAUAGGCCUAUAACAGGAAGGAGCAACAGCAUCUUCUGUGUGCCAAAGUAGCACAAUAAUGAACGCUGUUCAAGUGGAUCAAAAGUCAUCAAGUUCAAAAUUAGGCACGGGUAAGGCAAGACUUUUCUGGUAGAAAUGUUAUCAGUCCAUUCUAUUCUGGUAGAAAUGUUAUCAGUACAUUGCUAUAAAUGCCUGACACUGGGUAAUAUAUAAAGUAAUUUAAUUGGCUCAUGGUUCCACAGGCUGUACAGGAAGCAUGAUUCUGAUAUCUGCUUGGUUUCUGGGAAGGCCUCAGGAAAGUUAGGUCCUGGAAGAAGAAGGGGGAGCAGGCGUGUGUUACAUGACGAGAGCAGGAAGAAGAGCGAGAAGUAGGGAGG